GGAGGGGUGGCAGAGCGGUUAAAUGCACCGGACUGUAAAUCCGGCCUCUUAGAGUACACUGGUUCGAAUCCAGUCCCCUCCACCA
rnacentral:tRNA from 1 species